GGAAAAUGAUCCAUUUUUCCCUUGAACCAGAACGAACUAUGAAGAAAAGAUGAAGACAAAAUAGCUCUAAGAUCUCUUCUCACUCUCUCUCUCUCUCUCUUUUUUGGUGCGAUCCCGUCUCUCUCUCUCUCAAUCAUUGUGAAAUCCUUUGGUGAGUACAGAGAAAGAGGAAUUAAGCAAAUAACCUUGAAGAAUUGCACAAGAUAAUUCAUGCUGUCAUCUGUGCUGAUCUCACAGUGAAGAAAUCUGAUAAAGAACCACCCCAGGACACUAUAAACGUUUAUGGUACACCUCCCCGCACUUCUUUGAUCAAAAAUUCAAAACCCACCACUUAUUGGUCGAACAUUUUCUCAAGGCUUUACAAUUUUUGUUUCAAUCUUUUAUUGCUAUUUUAUUUUUUGAUUGCAGGCCCCAUUUUAGGUCAUUCCCCCCCCCCCCCCCCCUUUUUUUUUUUUGUGAGAAAAGACUAAAAGAACCAUAUUAAUGGUAGUGAAUAGAGAAACGAUAAAAAUAAACAAGCAGCAUCCCAUUUACUAUUUCAUUCUUGCUAAAACUUAUAUGUUUUCUUAAAGUUUAAAUUUUUGUGAGGUUGAUAAUGAUUGAAUGUUAUCUGGUCUUGUGUUUGAAUGUCUUAACAUUAUAUAAUGUUGUCUAGCAGAGAAGAUAUUUAGUUUAAAUCCUAAGCAAAUACCUACAUAUUUAAUUUUGCCUAACAUAUGUGUUGGAAGUGGAGUGAGAAGAUGGAAGUGAGGAAGAGACUGAGAGACUUAGAAGUGAAAAAAGGUCCUGGGCACAGUUGGAUCGAGCUUAACAAUAGAGUUCAUGGAUUUUCUGUUGGAGAUAAAACUCAUCCUCAUUAUACCAUGAUAGAUGCAAUUUUGGAGUCCCAUGAAGAUUCUCCCCGGGUCUUAUUCCACGCCUAAUGAUGAAAAGGGAGUCGGCGUGGUGUAAAGUGAAGAUUGAGGGAAGUAAAGUAAAAUUCCCUUCUGGGGUAUUCCGUAGCUACCAUUUCACUAGCUCUAGUAUUCACUGGCUUUCAAGGAAUGGAAUAUUAUCAAGCACCCUUCACUAUUUUCGAUAGUAUUCAUGGUUCUACCUUUUUCUUAGCAACUGGCUUUCAUGGUUUUCAUGUGAUUAUAGGUAAUCUUUUCUUGAUCGUAUGUGGUAUUCGCCAAUAUCUUGAUCAACUGUGAACUAGUGAGUCAAAAUUACUUGUGUCUGUUAAGCUACCAUGUAGCUGCAUUGUCAAAGUUCUCUAUAUCGAUCUUUGUUCUCUUUUUGCAGAAAGAAUAAUAUAUAGAUAUGUGCAGGAUGUAAACCUCACCAUAUGCAUAUGGGACAUGAAAGACUCUUGUUCAACUUAAAGAAGCUCACAUAUAAAGAAAGGAAGAACCAGUUAAUUGAAAGAUUGACUAAAUUUAGGCAGUGGCAUAAAUUUUCAAAGAUAAUGCACAUGCCGUAUAGAGAAACCUAGCUUUCCUUGUGUCCAUGCAAUUGCAGCAUGUAAGCAUCGACAUAUUUCUCCAUAUAUCCUUUGCUCGGUGCAUUACUUAGUUGACUCACUCCAUGACGCAUAUUCGGAAACCAUAUAUCCACUUGAAGAUAAAUGUCAGUGGCAUGCUCUAGAUAAUGUCAUAAACCAGCUUGUACUUCCACCUAAGAUUGGCAAACAGUCAGGAAGACCAAGAAAGAAGAGGAUUCAAUCUCAAGGAGAGGAGCAUCAACAAGAUAGAUGAGGGAGGUGCAAACAGAUUGGUCACAGCAGCUGAUCAUGCUCAGCCAUCAUACCUCUUGAUAGCACUACCAACCAAUAGCACCAUUCAACUGAAGGACCAUAAAUCGCUCUAUGCUAUAUUAAGACAAUGGGGGCAUGUUAUGUAACGUGUGUUUUAGCAUAAUAGACGUUGGUUUUAUGUGUUGUUUUGUUGGAAAAGUCAUAUGUCGUAUUGUGUUGAUAAAAUAUCAAUGACCCUAAACAGAAAAAACUCCAAAAGUUUGGAAAAAGUUCUCA